UUUGUCCUGCCAAAGGAAAGAAAGAAUUUACUCGCAAUAUCGUAUUAAUCAUAUAAUUGUAAAACUAACGGGAAUGGAAUGGAAUACGAUGAUAUGGAGAUUUAUAAAAGUUAAGAAAAAUCUUUUAACGUUGGCGUUAAAAUAUUACACGAUGUCUCAUCGAUUUUUUUAAUUACAUUCAAAUAUUUGAUUAUUAUCCCUUUCUUUAGACAACGAUAUCUCAAAAACUGGAAACCAUAUCGAAAUAAACGAGAAACCAUUUCAAGAGGCAAGAUUCCGUAUUUUUAAUGGCCAUUCAUUCGUUGACUGGAAGUCAUCAACUUCGAAGUUAUAGCGGUUCAAAUUUUAAUCAAAUUAAUUAUAUAUUACGUUGAUUAAAAUAAGUAAAACAUAUAUAUGAAAAAUAUGUAUUUUCAUGCAAAUCCAUAUUACGAAUGAUACUUUUAUGGAAAUACAAAUCUUUUCUCCACGUUAACGACACAAAUAAAUUUCGAAGAAAAUUCAUUUAACCGAGGAAAACUAUCCUCGAUGCAAAAAUCGAAGGGAUAGAAAAUGGGAUGAAAUUUUCAAGGGAUGGUUUCGCAAAGAGCAGGCUAAUGAAAAGGAAGACACAACGUGCCAGAUAUUCCGCGAACUUUCCCCAUUACGUCACAUGGAUAUCUCCAUGCUUGGAGCAAAGUAGGUGGCGGAUAAAGUGACAGCAAUGUGCAGGCUACAUUAAAGACACCUGAGUGCACGUGUUCGAAGCGUUAGACUUCCUGUAUGGCUGUUACUAGGGCUUCCUUGUCUGAUAUUUGUCUCUUCGAAGUCAGCCCAACGUAUGAUAAUCCCAUAAAAGGGACGUGACAUCUUAGAAAUACCUUUGUCGUUAAUUAUGAUGGUAUUUCCGGUAGUUGGAAAGACUUUUAUCGAAGUGGUUUUUAUUAUUUUUUAAAAUUUAAUUACAAUCAAUGGUUGAAUUGUGUAUAUUACGUUACUUUUGUACAUAGAUACGUUACAUUUUAUAAUUUUAUGUAUUUGUACAAUUUUAUGAAUUAAUUAUUUGUGUGGAGAGAAGAUAUGUGGAUAUAUUUAAUUCGUAUAAAAUCAUUAUUUUUAAAAACAUUCGUUUCGUACGAUUGAAUAAUCGUAUUUUAUUUAAAUUAUUGUUCUUUGGAUAAGCUUCGUGUAUUUAUUUCUGGAAAUUUAUAAAUUAAUUACUUGUGUAAAAUUUGUAUUAAAAUAUUACUUUUAGAUUUUGAUUUCGGAGAUUGAACGUUCAUAUUUAUUACGAUUCUCGUUUAAAUUAUUAUUAUUUGAACAAAUAUUAUAUAUUCGCUUGUGUACAAUUUAUACAAUUACUUUUUAAAUCUUCAUUUCGAUGAAGAGUUGUAUUUUAUUUUCAGCUACAAUUUUUAUUUAAAUUAAUUUAUAUACUUUUUUCUUUCUUAAAGAUCAAUUAAUAUAAAACAUUCUUAAUAUUAAUAUUUAAAAUAAUUCUCGAAAAUUUAAAUUACUUUUGAAACAAGUUUUAUAUUUUUUUGUAACAAUAAUAACGAUACUUUUAAUGAUCACGCACAAUUCAUUUCAUCCAUAAAAUAUUGCUCUAUGAAAUAAUAUCUCACAUUAAUGCGUGUGUAAUUUGAAUGAAAUUUAAGAGAACAGAAUUAUUAUUACAUGAACGAAUUGAAUAUCGCUAUGAAAGGGCCAUUGAAAAAUAAUAUCUCUGUAAAAUUGAACAUUGCAGAAAGUUUCUUCGUUGCCUGUCUCGUCCAUAACAAAUAUUCCCUGAAACGUGCAUUAGGGACAUCUGAAUCAGGCUAUUACACGCGAAAUGUCGCCAUUACCACUUUGGUGUUUUAACAUUCGUGUUCAUACCGGCGAUUCUUCUGAUCGUGAAAUAUUUUCGUGCAGGAAGAUCCUCGAAUUGAUAGUCGACUCUCGAUUAUUCGAAUCUUUAUAAAAGGCGUCACCCACAACACGUAGAUUGCGACGUCCUUAAUGGGGAGCUGUGAAACGGAGAUAUUUAAUGGAGCAAGGGGGAAAAAUGAAAAGGAUAGAGUCGAAAAGUAAAGUAGAGACUUUCCCAAGGGUUAGAAACAAGAUAUUUUAUUUCGACGAGAGAAAAGUUUCAUAUUUCUAUACGACAAGCUGUCUAAAUAAUGGAUGGACUUUUCGAUCGAAAAGUUUUAAUCGCACGCUUUUAAUGCCCGUCUACACUAACUGCGGUGCGUUAACGUAGAAUGUGCAUCAGCGUGAAAAAGCUUUCGACCCUCGAAUGUCUGUCUCUCGUCUCGGUUUCUUCCCGCCACGAUGAAAGCCUAUCUUCUCCACCGGAGGAGACAGUUAUGUAAACGCAUACGUACGCCCUACUUGAAUUGUUCUCCGCGCGGCGGCGACGAGAUGUAAGAUCGAUUCGACAUCCCCGCAUUCCUCCCGAAUCCUGCAACCCUUCGACUCUAACGCGUCUCUCCUCCUACUAUUUCCAUUUCCAUUUUCAGCAGACGCACAACAAAAUUUAUCUAUUACACGUUGCCCCGGUUUCCUUCGAUUACGCCCUGUGAAAUAAAAAUAGUCAAAUGACGACAAACCGCAAAGAGGAAACCCCCGCUUGAACGUUCCAUCCACUUGAUGCGGGACCACGCAACAAUAACGCUCGAGAAAUCACAACCGCCCCUCGUACGUACAACUUACCCCAACUCACCCUUCCGUGCG